rnacentral:ncRNA from 1 species
GGCCACCUUCGGGGGGCUACAACAGACAGGCGGGGCAACCCGCCGCAAAGCAACGGAAGACAGAAA